UUUCUAUAGUUGAAAUACAACGAUGGUUUUUCAGACCAUUAGUCAU
rnacentral:tRNA from 1 species